UACGGAGGAUCCAAGCGUUGUCCGGAUUUACUGGGCGUAAAGGGCGCGCAGGCGGACUUGUAAGUCAGAGGUGAAAUCUCACGGCUCAACCGUGAAACUGCCUUUGAUACUGCAGGUCUUGAAUUGGGGAGAGAGUUGUGGAAUUCCGAGUGUAGCAGUGAAAUGUGUAGAUAUUCGGAAGAACACCAGUGGCGAAGGCAGCAACUUGGCCCAAGAUUGACGCUCAGGCACGAAAGCAUGGGGAUCAAACAGG
rnacentral:rRNA from 1 species